rfam:Burkholderiales bacterium RIFCSPHIGHO2_01_FTLL_63_240 rifcsphigho2_01_scaffold_27, whole genome shotgun sequence.
GACGGGCCUCCCUGCAUGGAGGCGCGGCCAACCGGGUCAGAUCGGGAACGAAGCAGCCCCAACCGUUAGCCGCCAGUGCCAGGGUCAAGGCUCGUCACC